rnacentral:rRNA from 1 species
AACGAACGCUGGCGGCAGGCUUAACACAUGCAAGUCGAACACAUCCUUCGGGGUGAGUGGCAGACGGGUGAGUAACGCGUGGGAACGUGCCCUUCAGUUCGGAAUAACCCAGGGAAACUUGGGCUAAUACCGGAUACGUGCGAGAGCAGAAAGAUUUAUCGCUGAAGGAUCGGCCCGCGUCUGAUUAGCUAGUUGGUGAGGUAAUGGCUCACCAAGGCGACGAUCAGUAGCUGGUCUGAGAGGAUGAUCAGCCACAUUGGGACUGAGACACGGCCCAAACUCCUAGGGGAGGCAGCAGUGGGGAAUAUUGGACAAUGGGCGCAAGCCUGAUCCAGCCAUGCCGCGUGAGUGAUGAAGGCCUUAGGGUUGUAAAGCUCUUUCAGUGGUGACGUUAAUGACGGUACCCGCAGAAGAAGCCCCGGCUAACUUCGUGCCAGCCGCCGCGGUAA